rnacentral:lncRNA from 1 species
CGGGGGUUAGCUCAGACAGUGAACCAUCAGCAAGAACUAGAAGACCGAAGGGUCCCAACUUUCCCCUGCUGGCGGCGCCACCACUUGUGGUGCAGUUGUACCCCACGUCAGCCUCUACUGUCGCCUCCAAUGCCUCACUAUCCACUUCAAAUGAAGCAAUGAUGUCUAACUGCAAUAUUAUUCCGACAAAGACAGUCUCGUGUCAAUCAUGACUACUCUCUUCAUCAGCAACAAUAAAAAAUAUGCUUAUCCGAUCCAACACCAAGAAAUUCAUCUAGAAAGAAAAAGAAACAGUGAUGAUUGAAGAACAGACCUGCGUUGCUGAGCCAAUAUUUAGGGGCGCGAUGGAUCCUGGUUCCAGCUUGACGGUGUCAAAUUCAGUAGCAUUAAAUCUCAAGCUCUCCGCUUCUUCAACCGGCCAUUGAAGUAUAUUUGUUCCAGUCUUCUUGUCAAAAACCACCGUUCUUGGGAUUGUCUGUGCAACACAUCAAACCAGCUAUUACUAUUAGGCCUGGGAACCACACAGUCCGAUGCAUGGCAGUGUCAUUAUUAUUAUUAUUAUAUUAUCGUUUUCCGUGAUCACAUUUUCCUAUCACCUUUUUCUCUCACAUAUAUCAAAUCGUUACAGUAAUUUUUCCAUAAAAAAUGACAAAAAAUGUAAUCCAAACACAACCUUAAGUUCCAUCUGGGCAAUCCAUCCAAGCUUGGUAAUCAUUCUUUCUUUAACUAAAUUCUUUGUGGGCUACAUGGUAAUUAGUAGUAUAUUUUUUGGUGGAGUAGACAUUAAAGUUGUUUCCGUUCAAAAGGAACAAAAAAAAGACACGUAGAAUAUGGUACCAUAUCACUUCACAAUUAGAGAGGCCAUCUUGACGUGGUUCUCACACACCAAAUGAAUAGAAUAUUAUCAAAGAACUUGAAAUCAAAGUCAAGGCAAUGCAUUAUGCACUUGUGAAUGAGGAGAACAAUAAUACUAAUAAUAAUGAUGAUACCUGAACCGAUGCCCAUCCUUUCAUGAGGUCAGCAGCUUCGCUGUCAGUUUCUCCAAUCCAACCCCACAAAAUCCUCCUCUUCUUGUUCUGGUCGUAAAAUGUCUUUGACGCGUAAUACUUGCCAUAGUCCAGACGCAACCCGAUACCCACAUCCAGUUCCGGAUCGUCAGGGGUCCACUUAUUGUUUUUCGGAUCAUAGGUGCCCAGUGCGUAGUAAUCGUGCUUGUUCUCGUCCAAGCUUGCCUUCAGGACGUGCUUAGUGCCAGGCCCAUUAGCCGAUGUAUCCAGCCCAUUAUCCCCCGUGGUGGAAACCGGGUAGAAAUCCACGCACUCCCACAUGCCUGUGCGGGGAACGGCGUGUAAAACCCCAUCCAAGAGCCGGUAGCCCUUGAAGUCGCUGGUUUCAUAAACCAGGGCAAUGCCCGUUUUAUUGACCUUGGACCCGAGAGUAACCAACCACUUGGUCCCAUCGGGCGCCAGCCAGGCGGUGGUGGGGUCCCUAAAGUCCUUCUUGCCAAUGCCAGGUGGGGGGAUCAUGACCGGGUUACCCGGGUACUUGAUCCAGUCAAGGAGGAGAGGAUCGGAUAGGUUGGCGGGGUACGCAAGGUUUUGCACCUGCACCAGAUCAGCAGUGUCCCCAGUGUACAGGAUCACGAUUUGACCACCAGGAAGAAUGGUGGCUGAACCGGUCCAUACACCAUUGAUAUCGAACGGCCUAUCGGGGACCAUGGCGAAGGGCAGAUACAGCCAGUGAAUAAGGUCCCUUGAAACCGCAUGUCCCCAUGUGAUGUUUCCCCAGAUAGCUGAAUCCGGAUUGUAUUGGUAGAAAAGGUGGUACCAACCCAUGUGGAACAAUGGACCUGUACCAGCAUAGCUUUUUUUUUUUUUUUUUUUUAUCAAAACAUGCAUUGUCCCUGGAGACUCUUAUGAUUGUCAUCGUUCUAAAACAAGUUGAAACCACAUGCACUUUAUCAAGUACGAACAGAAUUGUUAUUAAGGGCUGUGAGGAAAGCCGCCUCGAUUUAUUACAGGGAUGGUCAGGUCUCAGAUCACGAUAUUCUUCCUUUCUUUUUGUUUUUUUUGGCCAAAUACGCUACAUUCUAUUUUAUACCUAUUCUUACUAUACUAUAUACUAGAAGGAGGGAGACCUAAAGGGAUCCGGGAAGAAUCUGAAAGGACUGAACCACCGUCGAUCUAAACGGAUGACUACACAUUCGUUAGGAAAUUCCAGAGAAUCCUGGAUUGAACGUAGACAAAGGGAUUUAAUCUCUUAUUAACCUACACCCUUAAGUAAAAUUUUAAGAUUCACUUGGUAACCAACUGCUCUAGAAGUAGUUGGUUAGAUUAAGAUAUUCCCCGAUCUUGUGGUUUUUGAAGCAGAAAUUAUACAGUAAGAGAAGUGUUGAGAAGGCAAGUUGGCAACUGCCCCGUCAUGGCUGUCAUCCGGGACGGUUGGACGAAUUCAAAGUUUCAUGCUGAUUUCUCCACCAAGAAAUACUACAAGAAUUAAUCUACAGCAUUUGCAUAAUAUUCAAGAAAGCAACAAUUCAUCCCAUGGAAAUUUCAGCCUCUCGUGGGAUGUGCGUGCAAGAAAUUGAAAAGUAUGUGUAGUUUUGCAUCCCAUAACUUUGGGGUCUAUCAAAUGCCACGUAGAAAUUCUGGUGAUUUUGAAAAUUUCAGACCCAAAAUGAACGAAAAGACGUGUGCAGCAGACUCGUCACAAUUGAUUUUGCAAAAUUGAACACGACUCUCUCCCAUCUUCCUAGUUGUUAUCCGAGUAGCUUCGUUGCAAUAAUUGGAUUGGGCACUUACAUAUUAAUGCAUUUAUCUGUUAGCUUCCAAUUUCAAUUUCACAAUCCAGAAGAAAGAAACUGAAACGGAAAAAAAAAAAUCCAAAACCACAGAGUAUUAUUCAGCCAAGGAUGGAGUCGAGGGAGGGACAAUUCUAUUUUGAGCCCUUUAUUUCAAUUAUUCCUUGAUAGAGAGAGAGAGUGAAAAGAACUUGUGGCCCUUAACAAUUUUCCUAUCGGCUCUAUCCAUUUUAUGUACUUCGACCUGGGUGUAUAAAAUCACUGGGCCAUUGGCUCAGUGACCAUCAGGGUUGACGAGGGUUUAAAUCUCAUCAGCAGCGAAAAAAAUUUAAGGGUUGUGCUAUAACACUUCCUUGAUCUAGUUGGAUCUGUAUACCCACUAGUCCCUUUCAUAGUCUCCUUAGGCUCCCUUCCCCCUAGAUUAUGAUAGAGUAAGUUAUACAAAUACAUCGUUGCUGAAAAAAAAAAAACUUGGGUGUAUAAAUUAUUAGGCACAACUACUUGGGAGUACUAUAGUAGUAGAAAUGUGGCUUUCCACGUUCCACAAUCUACAAAAAGCCAGAUGGACAAAUGCACAUGUGGCGUGUUGACCCACCCACAUGGAAAUGAGUAUUCGGAGAAAGAACCCUCCUUGAUUGGUCCACAACUCUCUUCCAAAACCCCAAAAAAAAAAAAAAAAAAGAAUUAACUAAUCCUCAAUCAACUACUACUAUAUAGGGCACUUUUACCACCACACAUUCGUUUGAAUCUUCCGAAUAAAGUACCCUACUAGCAAUAAUACGCCAACCAUCAAGAAGAAGUUGAAUUAUUACGAUUCUCCUACACAGACGGAAUCCCCAGACAGAAACCUAUACUUGCACGGCGGGAAUCCCAUGGUCAACUACAAUGCCUACGCAUGUUAGACAAAUUACUACGACAUUAAAACGAGAAAACACCCCAUGGGCUCCAAAAUUAUAGGAAUGUACAACUCUAAUCUAAACUAGACAAUUAGAGGAUGGAAAGUAUAUGCUUGCAAUUUGCAGUAUCAGAAGCAAAUGAAAGUGAUUGAGCAACGUACCAUUAGGAUCUAGAGUAGACGAAAUUUCCCCGCAAAGUUGUGUGUGUCAUCAAACCACCAACAGUGAAGGAAAAAAAAAAAAGAAGCUCGGAUUAGUAUGCAUGAAUGCAUCACAUACCUUAAAAUUCUACAAUGGUAAGGAAUUUUCAGAGAAAAGAGACGGGUUGGCUUUUGGAACCUGCAAGAUUGGAUUAUGACUCACCGUUCAUCCAGUUCUUCUCCGGCUGGAAAUGGUAGGAAGUUCUUUGCCAAGAUAGCAUAGCAUUGGUCCAAGGAUAGACAUCAUUCGCAUCAGAGACUCCCCGGAAAGUCUUCUCCGAGACUCCUUGAGGAACCCCUCUGGAAGCUGGAAUGAGAGAAUGAGGGGAGACAGGUGAGGAAGGGGAUGACUUGUUUAAAUUGGCAUUGAUCAUUUGAGAUUGAUCGCGAGGUUCUUCUUGUCCUUGGAAAAGGGUCAAGAUUAAGGUAAGCAGAAACAAUGAGGACAGGAAAAUGCCGGCCAGAACCUUAACGGGCCGUUGUCUACUUUGACCCGAGGACCGAGAAACCUCUGCUUCAUCGGAUUGCUCUAGCAAAGGAGCAUCGGAGACGGCAAGUUCAGGAUCAUAUGGCAGAGUAAGAGAACGAUUGGCGGCCAUUUUGGUAGAUGACGGUGGACGGAGAAGGGAAGGCUAGGCCGAAUGCUAGCUACAAAGGCGCUAUAUGGUAGACCACUACUCGACUAGCUAGUCGUACUACCAACAAUAUAUAUAUAUAUAUAGCAGUGGCAUUCGGGCUUUCAACGGGGGUGGUAAAAAAAAAAAAAAAAUUUAAAGGUGGAAUUCGGGCUCUCCAGGACUGGGGGCGGCCCCUGCUCAGCAGUUGGCAAUGUGUCUGCAUUUGAGUUUUCUUGCAUGAUGUGUGGUCCAACACGGAUUUUUCCAGAGCACUUUAUUGGUGGAGAGGGUUACGGGCCGGGUUCAACUUCUUCACCAGUUUUACUGUUUAAUAAAGUUUAAGCGAACAUUUUAUUCUUUUUUUGCCUUACGGAACUGCAAGUUAUUACGAUUAAAAACGUAAAAAAGAAAAUGCAGACAAAAAAAAAAGAAUAAAAUAGUUGUGUUUGAAUUGCAUUUUUCAUGAAAAAAUUACUGUAGCGAUUUGAUGUAUGCGAGGAAAAAAGAUAAUAGAGAAAUGUGAUCACGGAAAACGACGUAAUUUUUUGACGGAAAACAACAAUCAAAACAAGGCCAUGCCAAAGCUGAAAUUUUUUUUUUUUAAGGAAUAUACGUAUGUGGAAAAAUAAUCUUGCUAAGGUCCUUUUUAUUUGCAUUUAGGAAACUCCAUUUGUUGUUCCCCAGCAAUUCGACCCUAGAACUAGAUGCAAAUGAAGAUUGGUUCGAUUUCCUUUGUGUUUCAAAGGUAAAAGGGGGAAAAAAGGCGGCGUCAAGAGUGGAAAAUGUCUUAGCCAAAAAAAAAAAAAAAAAAGAGUAGAAAGUGAGGAAAAAGUCAAAACAAUGUAUAUUAAUAAACACUGGUCGAGGAAUAUUGAAUUACUCUUUUUAAAAGAAAAACCAAAAAGUACAUGAAUGUUGAACCAUACCGAUUCUGUAAUAUUAUUUUUAAUAACAUAAGUAAAAGAAUUUAAAUUCAAAAUUAUAUAUAUACAUAUUAUAUUCCAUCCCACCCUUCCUGAAUUUUGUGAUUGCAACACGUUAAAAAUUUUGCCGGUUUUAUUUGGUCAUCAUAUCUCUGUCUGACUACGGACAAAUCAGAAUUGGGCAAUGAGUUGGCAUUAUUGUAUUAUAGAAUCGUAUUCGUGUACCAAUCUUAGAAAGAAAAAGAAACAGUGAUGAUUGAAGAACAGACCUGCGUUGCUGAGCCAAUAUUUAGGGGCGCGAUGGAUCCUGGUUCCAGCUUGACGGUGUCAAAUUCAGUAGCAUUAAAUCUCAAGCUCUCCGCUUCUUCAACCGGCCAUUGAAGUAUAUUUGUUCCAGUCUUCUUGUCAAAAACCACCGUUCUUGGAUUGUCUGUGCAACACAUCAAACCAGCUAUUACUAUUAGGCCUGGGAACCACACAGUCCGAUGCAUGGCAGUGUCAUUAUUAUUAUUAUUAUAUUAUCGUUUUCCGUGAUCACAUUUUCCUAUCACCUUUUUCUCUCACAUAUAUCAAAUCGUUACAGUAAUUUUUCCAUAAAAAAUGACAAAAAAUGUAAUCCAAACACAACCUUAAGUUCCAUCUGGGCAAUCCAUCCAAGCUUGGUAAUCAUUCUUUCUUUAACUAAAUUCUUUGUGGGCUACAUGGUAAUUAGUAGUAUAUUUUUUGGUGGAGUAGACAUUAAAGUUGUUUCCGUUCAAAAGGAACAAAAAAAAGACACGUAGAAUAUGGUACCAUAUCACUUCACAAUUAGAGAGGCCAUCUUGACGUGGUUCUCACACACCAAAUGAAUAGAAUAUUAUCAAAGAACUUGAAAUCAAAGUCAAGGCAAUGCAUUAUGCACUUGUGAAUGAGGAGAACAAUAAUACUAAUAAUAAUGAUGAUACCUGAACCGAUGCCCAUCCUUUCAUGAGGUCAGCAGCUUCGCUGUCAGUUUCUCCAAUCCAACCCCACAAAAUCCUCCUCUUCUUGUUCUGGUCGUAAAAUGUCUUUGACGCGUAAUACUUGCCAUAGUCCAGACGCAACCCGAUACCCACAUCCAGUUCCGGAUCGUCAGGGGUCCACUUAUUGUUUUUCGGAUCAUAGGUGCCCAGUGCGUAGUAAUCGUGCUUGUUCUCGUCCAAGCUUGCCUUCAGGACGUGCUUAGUGCCAGGCCCAUUAGCCGAUGUAUCCAGCCCAUUAUCCCCCGUGGUGGAAACCGGGUAGAAAUCCACGCACUCCCACAUGCCUGUGCGGGGAACGGCGUGUAAAACCCCAUCCAAGAGCCGGUAGCCCUUGAAGUCGCUGGUUUCAUAAACCAGGGCAAUGCCCGUUUUAUUGACCUUGGACCCGAGAGUAACCAACCACUUGGUCCCAUCGGGCGCCAGCCAGGCGGUGGUGGGGUCCCUAAAGUCCUUCUUGCCAAUGCCAGGUGGGGGAUCAUGACCGGGUUACCCGGGUACUUGAUCCAGUCAAGGAGGAGAGGAUCGGAUAGGUUGGCGGGGUACGCAAGGUUUUGCACCUGCACCAGAUCAGCAGUGUCCCCAGUGUACAGGAUCACGAUUUGACCACCAGGAAGAAUGGUGGCUGAACCGGUCCAUACACCAUUGAUAUCGAAC